CAGCAAAAACUGAAGAGUUAAAAUUUCAGGGUUAAAGGCUUCAGAGUUGACUUUAACUCAUUAAGAGUUGUUUUAACCCUUGAUGGCGUUAAAUGGCGUUAAAUGGCACCCAGUGUUAAAGUUAUUUCCAAUAGUUGAUUGCAUCAGGGUUGAUUUUACUCGUUAAGUGUUGUUUUAACAUUUGCUGAGUUAAAUGGUUUCCAGUCUGAUUGGAGGAAAAUAAGCUCCUCCCUCCUUCAUCGUCUUCCUUGGAGCGGAAUUUGAUAACUGCUCCCUUUUUUUCUUCUCCUGUUGUUCUAAACGCUGGUUGAAGUGCCCUACAAAAUGAUGUCUGGUGGUGAAGAAGUUCUGCAGGAGUGUGGAACAACAGAAACUCUCAGUGAUGCCAUAAGAAGACAAGUGGUGAACAUACUGAUGCUCACAGGAUUGAUAAAAAUAGGCAUCUUCCUGCUAAACCAAUCAGAGAGGAGUACCUGAGGAUGGUGACAUCUCCUUCCAAAACCACCUGAAGUCUCCAGGAAUCAGUGCGUGGGAUGCAGUCGAGAGACUUGCUGUCU